CAGUGAAAUCGAGUAGGACGGAGCACGAGAAACUUUGUCUGAAUAUGGGGGGACCAUCCUCCAAGGCUAAAUACUACUGACUGACCGAUAGUGAACUAGUACCGUGAGGGAAAGGCGAAAAGAACCCCGGAGAGGGGAGUGAAAUAGAUCCUGAAACCGUAUGCGUACAAGCAGUGGGAGCCCACUUUGUUGGGUGACUGCGUACCUUUUGUAUAAUGGGUCAGCGACUUAUUUUCAGUGGCAAGCUUAACCGAAUAGGGGAGGCGUAGCGAAAGCGAGUCUUAAUAGGGCGUCUAGUCGCUGGGAAUAGACCCGAAACCGGGCGAUCUAUCCAUGGGCAGGUUGAAGGUUGGGUAACACUAACUGGAGGACCGAACCGACUACCGUUGAAAAGUUAGCGGAUGACCUGUGGAUCGGAGUGAAAGGCUAAUCAAGCUCGGAGAUAGCUGGUUCUCCUCGAAAGCUAUUUAGGUAGCGCCUCAUGUAUCACUGUAGGGGGUAGAGCACUGUUUCGGCUAGGGGGUCAUCCCGACUUACCAAACCGAUGCAAACUCCGAAUACCUACAAGUGCCGAGCAUGGGAGACACACGGCGGGUGCUAACGUCCGUCGUGAAAAGGGAAACAACCCAGACCGUCAGCUAAGGUCCCAAAGUUAUGGUUAAGUGGGAAACGAUGUGGGAAGGCUUAGACAGCUAGGAGGUUGGCUUAGAAGCAGCCACCCUUUAAAGAAAGCGUAAUAGCUCACUAGUCGAGUCGGCCUGCGCGGAAGAUUUAACGGGGCUCAAACCAUACACCGAAGCUACGGGUAUCA
rnacentral:rRNA from 1 species